ACCUGCGGAGGAUCAUUAUCGUACAAAAUGUGAGAGGGGCAUGCGAGGGCUGUCGCUGACUCAAAGUCGUGCACGCCCGAGUGUGUCGCCUCACAUAAUAAUCCAUCUCACCCUUUGUGCAUCACCGCGUGGGCACCCCUUUGGGAUCAUCUCGGAGGGGGCUCGCGUUUUCACACAAAACCCCCCUUUUAAAAGUGUAGAAUGACCUCAUUUAUGCGCUAACCCGCAAUCAAUACAACUUUCAACAACGGAUCUCUUGGCUCUCGCAUCGAUGAAGAACGCAGCGAAAUGCGAUACGUAAUGUGAAUUGCAGAAUUCAGUGAAUCAUCGAAUCUUUGAACGCACCUUGCGCCCCCUGGUAUUCCGAGGGGCACACCCGUUUGAGUGUCGUGAAAACCUCAACCUCCUUGGUUUCUUCUGGAGACCAAAGCAGGCUUGGACUUUGGAGGCCUUUGCUGGCACCUCUCGCCAGCUCCUCUUAAAUGAAUUAGCAGGGUCCUCUUUGCUGAUCCUCGACGUGUGAUAAGAUGUUUCCAUGUCUUGGUUUCUGGCUCUGUCACCUUUGGGACCCGCUUCUAACCGUCUUCAACCUUGCGUUGAGACAACGUUCGAGCAUGUCUCCCUUCUCGGGAAGCUCCCUCGACCCCACGAACCCUUGACCUCAAAUC
rnacentral:rRNA from 1 species